rnacentral:rRNA from 1 species
GACGAACGCUGGCGGCGUGCCUAAGACAUGCAAGUCGAACGGUCCAGCUUGCUGGACAGUGGCAAACGGCGGAGUAAUACAUGAACAACUUGCCCCAAAGACCGGGAUAGUCGACGGAAACGACGGGUAAUACCGGAUGUGGCCCUGUGGAGGCAUCUCUACGGGAUUAAAUGGUUUUUCGCUUUGGGGAGAGGUUCAUGGCCUAUCAGGUAGUUGGCGGGGUAACGGCCCACCAAGCCAUCGACGGGUAGCGGGUCUGAGAGGACGAUCCGCCCGAGUGGGACUGAGACACGGGCCAGACUCCUACGGGAGGCAGCAGUAGGGAAUCUUGCGCAAUGGGCGAAAGCCUGACGCAGCCAUGCCGCGUGAAUGAUGAAGGUCUUAGGAUUGUAAAAUUCUUUCACCGGGGACGAUAAUGACGGUACCCGGAGAACGAAGCCCCGGCUAAACUUCGUGCCAGCAGCCGCGGUAAGCUAGUCUACG